UACGUAGGGUGCAAGCGUUAAUCGGAAUUACUGGGCGUAAAGCGUGCGCAGGCGGUUGUGUAAGACAGAUGUGAAAUCCCCGGGCUCAACCUGGGAACUGCAUUUGUGACUGCACGGCUGGAGUGCGGCAGAGGGGGAUGGAAUUCCGCGUGUAGCAGUGAAAUGCGUAGAGAUGCGGAGGAACACCGAUGGCGAAGGCAGCCCCCUGGGCUAGCACUGACGCUCAGGCACGAAAGCGUGGGGAGCAAACAGG
rnacentral:rRNA from 1 species